UUACAACCCACCAAAAUUUCACGAAUUUUCACUCAAAUAUUGUACUAACUUAUACACUCAAACUAGUGAGCAUUAGGACAAAGCAUUAUUUAGUAAAACACGAAGCCCUCUGAAAAAAGGGCAAUCUGGUCCAUCCAUUUAUUCCAAUUACAAGAUGAGCGAGAAGUCAAAUGACAGACAGCGUUGAUGAAUCCGGAUGGUGAAUGGGGUGAGAUCGGAGUUACAGAGGUUUUGGAAGGUGGAGAGCUGAUAGGGCGGCGCAUCCGUAGCGAGCCAUUGCUCCACCUCGAAAUUAAGGUGCGAGCAGGGCAAGUGGACGCCGGUGGAGGUGACCUCGAUGUAGUUGCAGUACCAUCCGUGGCCCGAACCCGACCCGUCGGAACUCAGGUUCAUCGCGCAAAUGGGCCCUGACAAACACGGGCCUCGCCCGCUGAAGAUGUCCAGGUUUCCUCUCUCGAAGUAGUCGUAACCCGGGCCCAUCAGCCCGCCCCAUGCCUCGAUGUUCUUAAUCUUUGAUGCCGUACCCGUCUGCGUCGUAAAACGUCGUCGUAAUUAUAGAGUCUGUUCCACCCUUUAUGAUUGUGCUCGUUCUUAUGUAUAGCGUGUAAACACAAUCUGCAUCAUCCUGCACAAUAAUUUAUCAUUUCAAAUAAUAUCUCAACUAAAACCGAACAAAUUUAAAUUGUUUUUGAGUGUGUGGAGAAAAACUAAUUACAGAUCUGGAGAUGGUGAUGAAGAUGGAGGAGAGAAUGAGGAGAUUCAAGAAGAAGCGGUUGACUUCCAUGCCUUCCUUUCCCGGACUAUAGUACUAGUGUAUAGCGGAUAAUAUAUACACAAUAAGAAAUCAAAUAAAUAUAUUUACAUACAUAUAUGUACUCAUCAUACUAGUUGGAUUGCCUGGAUGAUUUAAGAUGGACCACGAACAUUAAAGUGUAUAGUGAAGCC
rnacentral:lncRNA from 1 species